rnacentral:lncRNA from 1 species
AUUCUGGUAUGUGACCAACCUUCAAAGAAAUAUAUUGAAUAUAACAAGUCACCUUCAUUGAUGACAACUAACCAAGCUAGGAUGUGUGAACUGAAGAGAGAUAAGACGCAAACUUCCAUGAGGAAAUUGCUGUUUGGUGGCAAGCAGAUCUGAGUUAUAAAAAGGACUUCUGAAACUCAUAAAGUGCUAAAGAUGCGAAGAUCAACUGAGCUUGCUGUUUAAAAGUACAUGGAUUAAUGACUCCUUUCUCGAUGAGGGUAACUCCAAGCUAUUCAUCACAAGGACUGGAAAAGAACCUGCAUAACCUUUCCUUGGUGACUUCUUCUGGGGCCAAUGGUUGAUUCAGAGCUUCAAAUGGGAUGUGUUAUCUAAAAGAUUGGUGUGAACUGGGAGAAGUCAUGGUCCACAAGCCACAGGCUCUGUCUCAGCAUGGAUCAGUGGCUCUCAGAGACUGCCAGCUCAGUGCCUCCAGUGACAGUCAGGAACCGGGAAGAAUGAGUGUUACGGAGUACGGAGACGGAUGGACAAGUGCUGGUUCCACUGAAGAGCGGCUUCUGAUCAAUGAAGCAAAGAUUCCUGAAAGUCAACUAUUUUUCUGAUCCAGGCUCCCUACACCCACCCCAUGCCCUUCUCCCAUCCUGGCAAUGUUUAGUUGGGGCUCCUUCAGUGCCAAAUGGAGCUCUUUCCUGUAUUCGAAACUGCUAAGACUCUGGAAUUUUGAUAUAAUACAUUAAAACAUUUUCUCAGCC